AUUGAACGCUGGCGGCAGGCCUAACACAUGCAAGUCGAGCGGAGCGGCGGACGGGUGAGUAAUGUAUAGGAAUCUGCCCGGUAGCGGGGGAUAACGUCCGGAAACGGGCGCUAAUACCGCAUACUAUCAGAUGAGCCUAGAUCGGAUUAGCUAGUUGGUGGGGUAAAGGCCUACCAAGGCGACGAUCCGUAACUGGUCUGAGAGGAGGAUCAGUCACACUGGAACUGAGACACGGGCCAGACUCCUACGGGAGGCAGCAGGGGGGAAUAUUGGACAAUGGGCGAAAUCCUGAUCCAGCCAUGCCGCGUGUGUGAAGAAGGUCUUCGGAUUGUAAAGCACUUUAAGUUGGGAAGCGUUACCAACAGAAUAAGCACCGGCUAACUACGUGCCAGCCGCCGCGGUAAUUC
rnacentral:rRNA from 1 species